UACAGAGGGUGCGAGCGUUGUCCGGAAUCACUGGGCGUAAAGGGCGCGUAGGCGGCUUGGUAAGGUUGCGGUGAAAGCCCGGGGCUCAACCCCGGGUCGGCCGUGGCAACUGCUGAGCUGGAGCACUGUAGAGGCAGGUGGAAUUCCGGGUGUAACGGUGGAAUGCGUAGAGAUCCGGAAGAACACCGGUGGCGAAGGCGGCCUGCUGGGCAGUGGCUGACGCUGAUGCGCGACAGCGUGGGGAGCAAACAGG
rnacentral:rRNA from 1 species